GACGAACGCUGGCGGCGUGCCUAAUACAUGCAAGUUGAGCGAUGAAGAUUGGUGCUUGCACCAAUUUGAAGAGCAGCGAACGGGUGAGUAACGCGUGGGGAAUCUGCCUUUGAGCGGGGGACAACAUUUGGAAACGAAUGCUAAUACCGCAUAACAACUUUAAACAUAAGUUUUAAGUUUGAAAGAUGCAAUUGCAUCACUCAAAGAUGAUCCCGCGUUGUAUUAGCUAGUUGGUGAGGUAAAGGCUCACCAAGGCGAUGAUACAUAGCCGACCUGAGAGGGUGAUCGGCCACAUUGGGACUGAGACACGGCCCAAACUCCUACGGGAGGCAGCAGUAGGGAAUCUUCGGCAAUGGACGAAAGGCUGACCGAGCAACGCCGCGGGAGGGAAGAAGGGUUUCGGAUCGUAAAACUCUGUUGGUAGAGAAGAACGUUGGUGAGAGUGGAAAGCUCAUCAAGUGACGGUAACUACCCAGAAAGGGACGGCUAACUACGUG
rnacentral:rRNA from 1 species